CUUAUCAAGAGAGACUGAGGGACAGGCCCUGUGACGUCCGGCAACCUGCGUAAGUAAGGUGCUAAAUCCUGCGGUAUCACCGAAAGAUGAG
rnacentral:ncRNA from 1 species